rnacentral:rRNA from 1 species
UCAAGGCCGAGAGCUGAUGACGAGUGUUCCUUUGGAACACGAAGUGGUUGAUGCCAUGCUUCCAAGAAAAGCUUCUAAGCUUCAGGUAACCAGGAACCGUACCCCAAACCGACACAGGUGGUUGGGUAGAGAAUACCAAGGCGCUUGAGAGAACUCGGGUGAAGGAACUAGGCAAAAUGGCACCGUAACUUCGGGAGAAGGUGCGCCGGUGAGGGUGAAGCAUUUACUGCGUAAGCCCACGCCGGUCGAAGAUACCAGGCCGCUGCGACUGUUUAUUAAAAACACAGCACUCUGCAAACACGAAAGUGGACGUAUAGGGUGUGACGCCUGCCCGGUGCCGGAAGGUUAAUUGAUGGGGUUAGCGCAAGCGAAGCUCUUGAUCGAAGCCCCGGUAAACGGCGGCCGUAACUAUAACGGUCCUAAGGUAGCGAAAUUCCUUGUCGGGUAAGUUCCGACCUGCACGAAUGGCGUAACGAUGGCGGCGCUGUCUCCACCCGAGACUCAGUGAAAUUGAAAUCGCUGUGAAGAUGCAGUGUAUCCGCGGCUAGACGGAAAGACCCCGUGAACCUUUACUAUAGCUUUGCACUGGACUUUGAAUUUGCUUGUGUAGGAUAGGUGGGAGGCUUUGAAGCGUGGACGCCAGUCUGCGUGGAGCCAACCUUGAAAUACCACCCUGGCAACUUUGAGGUUCUAACUCAGGUCCGUUAUCCGGAUCGAGGACAGUGUAUGGUGGGUAGUUUGACUGGGGCGGUCUCCUCCUAAAGAGUAACGGAGGAGUACGAAGGUGCGCUCAGACCGGUCGGAAAUCGGUCGUAGAGUAUAAAGGCAAAAGCGCGCUUGACUGCGAGACAGACACGUCGAGCAGGUACGAAAGUAGGUCUUAGUGAUCCGGUGGUUCUGUAUGGAAGGGCCAUCGCUCAACGGAUAAAAGGUACUCCGGGGAUAACAGGCUGAUACCGCCCAAGAGUUCAUAUCGACGGCGGUGUUUGGCACCUCGAUGUCGGCUCAUCACAUCCUGGGGCUGAAGCCGGUCCCAAGGGUAUGGCUGUUCGCCAUUUAAAGUGGUACGCGAGCUGGGUUUAGAACGUCGUGAGACAGUUCGGUCCCUAUCUGCCGUGGACGUUUGAGAUUUGAGAGGGGCUGCUCCUAGUACGAGAGGACCGGAGUGGACGAACCUCUGGUGUUCCGGUUGUCACGCCAGUGGCAUUGCCGGGUAGCUAUGUUCGGAAAAGAUAACCGCUGAAAGCAUCUAAGCGGGAAACUUGCCUCAAGAUGAGAUCUCACUGGAACCUUGAGUUCCCUGAAGGGCCGUCGAAGACUACGACGUUGAUAGGUUGGGUGUGUAAGCGCUGUGAGGCGUUGAGCUAACCAAUACUAAUUGCCCGUGAGGCUUGACCAU